UUCUAUUCUAUGGUUUCUCUUCUCUCUUUAGAAAUUCUACUCCAAGAAAUCAAAUCUUCUUCAAAUUAUCGGUGCAAACUCAGAUCAAAAUCAACCCACUUGAGAAAGCCAUUACAGCAGCAAAACCAAAGGUUGAUAAAAACUGACCCUGUUGCGCUAGCGUUUCGCGUUCUUUCUAUUUGAUCUGAGGUGGGCUGCAUGAUCUAGGUUGCCGUUACAUGAAUGUGCUAGCACUUGUUGCGAAAUAUGGACUCCGAGUCAUAAUAGAGUUGAUUAGCAUGCAAGAGUUUUCAGAGCAAAAAUUGAGUACUUGGAAAAGGAAAUUGUAAAAGACAUCCACAUGUUCAUCCACAUGUGGUCAAAUUUAAGAAAAGAGGACAUACACAUGUUCAUUGCAAUGGUUUCCGAGCAAAAUAAAGACAAAAUAGUCCCACAAACACCAACACUCAAACCAAGGGGUGGUGUAACAAUCAAGCGAAGAAUAUUGGACUCAUAAAGUGAAAAAUUCGAUGAGACUUUGAGGUAACUUUUGUAUGUACUUGUACAAUUCUAUCUAUGACUUUUAGUCUAUUACACCAUGUCGAUGAUAUUUUAUUAACAUUUUGAGGUUGUCUUUUGUGUGUGUGUGCCUCAAUGUAGCUUCCGAUUGAAUGCAUUGUGUAUA